rnacentral:rRNA from 1 species
AUUGAACGCUGGCGGCAGGCCUAACACAUGCAAGUCGAGCGGAUGAAGGGAGCUUGCUCCUGGAUUCAGCGGCGGACGGGUGAGUAAUGCCUAGGAAUCUGCCUGGCAGUGGGGGAUAACGUCCGGUAACGGGCGCUAAUACCGCAUACGUCCUGAGGGCGAACGUGGGGGAUCUUCGGACCUCACGCUAUCAGAUGAGCCUAGGUCGGAUUAGCUAGUUGGUGGGGUAAAGGCCUACCAAGGCGACGAUCCGUAACUGGUCUGAGAGGAUGAUCAGUCACACUGGAACUGAGACACGGUCCAGACUCCUACGGGAGGCAGCAGUGGGGAAUAUUGGGCAAUGGGCGAAAGCCUGAUCCAGCCAUGCCGCGUGUGUGAAGAAGGUCUUCGGAUUGUAAAGCACUUUAAGUUGGGAGGAAGGGCAGUAAGUUAAUACCUUGCUGUUUUGACGUUACCAACAGAAUAAGCACCGGCUAACUUCGUG